rnacentral:rRNA from 1 species
GUCCCGCAACGAGCGCAACCCCUGCUUACAGUAGCCAGCAGCAAGGCUGGGCACUCUGUAAGGACUGCCGGGGAUAACCCGGAGGAAGGCGGGGACGACGUCAAAUCAUCAUGCCCCUUAUGGGCUGGGCUACACACGUGCUACAAUGGCGCCAACAGAGUGAGGCGAACCUGCGAGGGGGAGCAAAGCACAAAAAAGGCGUCCCAGUUCGGAUUACAGCCUGCAACCCGGCUGUAUGAAGCUGGAAUCGCUAGUAAUCGCAGAUCAGAAUGCUGCGGUGAAUACGUUCCCGGGUCUUGUACACACCGCCCGUCACACCAUGGGAGCCAGGAAUGCCCGAAGCCAGUGGCCUAACCGCAAGGGAGGAGCUGUCGAAGGCAGGCCCGGUAACUGGGGUGAAGUCGUAACAAGG